rnacentral:rRNA from 1 species
AUUGAACGCUGGCGGCAUGCUUUACACAUGCAAGUCGAACGGUAACAGGGACUUCGGUCUGCUGACGAGUGGCGAACGGGUGAGUAAUGCAUCGGAACGUACCGAGUAAUGGGGGAUAACGCAUCGAAAGGUGUGCUAAUACAGCAUACGCCCUGAGGGGGAAAGGGGGGGAUAGAAAGACCUCGCGUUAUUCGAGCGGCGGAUGCCGGAUUAGCUAGUUGGUGGGUAAAGGCUCACCAAGGCGACGAUCCGUAGCAGGUCUGAGAGGAUGAUCUGCCACACUGGGACUGAGACACGGCCCAGACUCCUACGGGAGGCAGCAGUGGGGAAUUUUGGACAAUGGGGGCAACCCUGACCCAGCCAUGCCGCGUGUCUGAAGAAGGCCUUCGGGUUGUAAAGGACUUUUGUCAGGGAGGAAAUCCCCAAGGCUAAUACCCUUGGGGGAUGACAGUACCUGAAGAAUAAGCACCGGCUAACUACGUGCCAGCCGCCGCAGUAAUAC